rnacentral:rRNA from 1 species
AUGAACGCUGACAGAAUGCUUCACACAUGCAAGUCAACUUGAACUUCGGUUUGGGUGGCGGACGGGUGAGUAACGCGUAAAGAACUUGCCUCACAGCUAGGGACAACAUUUGGAAACGAAUGCUAAUACCUGAUAUUAUGAUUAUAUGGCAUCGUAUAAUUAUGAAAGCUAUAUGCGCUGUGAGAGAGCUUUGCGUCCCAUUAGCUAGUUGGAGAGGUAACAGCUCACCAAGGCGAUGAUGGGUAGCCGGCCUGAGAGGGUGAUCGGCCACAAGGGGACUGAGACACGGCCCUUACUCCUACGGGAGGCAGCAGUGGGGAAUAUUGGACAAUGGACCGAGAGUCUGAUCCAGCAAUUCUGUGUGCACGAUGAAGUUUUUCGGAAUGUAAAGUGCUUUCAGUUGGGAAGAAAAAAUGACGGUACCAACAGAAGAAGUGACGGCUAAAUACGUG